AACCUUACCAGGUGGGAUUUCCAUAAGUGUGUUCUGGAAACCAGUUUGGGAUAUUAUAGCAUGCUGUUACGACCAAUGGAAAACUAAGCCCAAUUCUGAAGCCCAAAGGUUUAUUUCUUUUAUUGGUCAAGUGAAUUUUUCUGUGAGGGCCUUGAGAAGAUAUCCAGAUAAUUGGGAUAAUUACACAAAGGGGGAGUAUCUGCUCUGUCUUAUAGCAGCUGAUCAAGGGAAAAUGAGAUCUGCGUGUCGGAUAAUAGACAUUUCAUGGCCUAAGGAAGAUGGAAAGCUACCAGAUGUGCUGGACAAAAUUAUGGAGCAUGAAAGCAAGAGCAAUCGCCAUUACAAUCCAAGCAAUCCAUUUGAUUAUAUGCUUCUUAUAAGGAAUGUGUAUAAACAUUUCUACAAGUUUCCUUAUCAGAUCAAGAUAAUUCACUUUUAAAACAUUCUGUAACUUACUAAUAUGCAUAGAGUUCAAGCAUGUUGUGAGUGCAAAAAGAUAAACAAAGAACUACCAAGGCCAUGAAAAUGCUCUGAUUGUUUAUUCCUAGGACAGCUUGAAAUAUGAAAUAAAUGUAAAAUACAGAGUAUAAUAUUUUUAGUCUGAGCUGUUUGUUAACUUGGAUAGACAGUGAAAAUUUUGGAUCUGUGACCUUAACACCUUGUCUAUUACAGUACUAGUGCACAGUGAUUCAGCACUUACAAUGUUUUGUUCCUAUUUACAGCAAAGGUUUAAUGGUACAAGAGAAGGUUUUAUAAAGAUGUUAGAACAAUGGUCACCGAAUAUCUGGCAAGACUUGUAUGAUGCAAUUGGUUGGCCAUGAUAGGUUCUUCUACUUGGAACUGUUCACAACUUGCAUUGAUUUAUGUCUUGCAUCAUCAUGUACUUCAGAAAUAGUCAUCAGGUGCUCUGUCUCAAUACCUCAGGUGUAGACAUAGAUAUUAAUGAGACCCUUGCUGGCUGGUUAAUGGGAUCAGCACCGCUGCCGAGCCCAGAAAAUUUCGUUCAGACUAUGAGGAUGUUUCAUCACCAAGUUUUACCAUGUACAAGAGUAUCUGCGCAUCUCGUAUGGAAUCUUGAGGUAUACGACCUGAGUUUAUUGCUGGUUCUUUGUCAUACCAUGCGUAGUGCCCCUUGCUGCUACUCUUUCAGAUGUAGAGUAGAACAGAAGUACUACUUGAGAAGACUAUUGCCCGCUCAGGUGUUGAGUUGCACACUUGUAUUUGACACGUUCUCAUGUAAACGUUGUACUGGUAGCUCCUGGUCUUGAGGAUAGACCGGUUCUCUUGC